rnacentral:tRNA from 1 species
GCACCCGUAGCUCAGUGGAUAGAGCACCGGACUUCUAAUCCGAUGGUCGCAGGUUCGAAUCCUGCCGGGUGCGCCC